rnacentral:rRNA from 1 species
CACGUAGGGGGCGAGCGUUGUCCGGAAUCAUUGGGCGUAAAGAGCUCGUAGGCGGCUCAGUAAGUCGGGUGUGAAACCCCCAGGCUCAACCUGGGGACGCCACUCGAUACUGCUGUGGCUAGAGUCCAGAAGGGGCAACCGGAAUUCCCAGUGUAGCGGUGAAAUGCGUAGAUAUUGGGAAGAACACCUGAGGCGAAGGCGGGUUGCUGGGCUGAUACUGACGCUGAGGCGCGAAAGCCAGGGGAGCAAACGGG